AGAAAAUAUUGAACCUCCCCACUGUACGCAUUCCAGCGUGAGCCCACAUGCAAGAUCAGAAGCUUUUAUCUUGAAAAGCUCUUUCUUUCGAAAUUGCACGUGCGAGCGCCGUUCACAUGGGAGCUUUUCUCUCCGCAAGCAUAGCUUACGACUAGCCCUUCGAGAACCUUCUUAGCUCUCUCAUACACAGCUUUUGGAGGGGUAAAAUAGUUAGGCUAAGUGCAUGCUGCACAGAACAAAAAUUGCAUUCAAAGAUAGAAGACUUAAUUAAUGUGCGUGUAGAAAAUAUACAUAAAAAAAAAACGUGGUGAAAAUUUUGCAAAACCAUAAAAGGGAACAUAAACCAAAUAAAAACAAUUUUAAAAGUGUUGUGGCUGCAAAGACAAAAA
rnacentral:lncRNA from 1 species